UUUUACCUACGGGGGGCAGCAGUGAGGAAUAUUGGUCAAUGGCCGGAAGGCUGAACCAGCCAAGCCGCGUGAAGGACGAAGGUGCCAAGCAUUGUAAACUUCUUUUGUCAAGGGACAAAAUCAGGCUCGAGAGCCUGACCGAGGGUACUUGAAGAAAAAGCAUCGGCUAACUCCGUGCCAGCAGCCGCGGUAAUACGUAGGGGGCAAGCGUUAUCCGGAUUUACUGGGUGUAAAGGGAGCGUAGGUGGCAGGGCAAGUCAGAUGUGAAAACCCGGGGCUCAACCCCGGGAGUGCAUUUGAAACUG
rnacentral:rRNA from 1 species